GAUGAACGCUGGCGGCGUGCCUAAUACAUGCAAGUCGAGCGAACAGACGAGGAGCUUGCUCCUUUGACGUUAGCGGCGGACGGGUGAGUAACACGUAGGUAACCUACCUAUAAGACUGGGAUAACUUCGGGAAACCGGAGCUAAUACCGGAUAAUAUUUCGAACCGCAUGGUUCGAUAGUGAAAGAUGGCUUUGCUAUCACUUAUAGAUGGACCUGCGCCGUAUUAGCUAGUUGGUAAGGUAACGGCUUACCAAGGCAACGAUACGUAGCCGACCUGAGAGGGUGAUAGGCCACACUGGAACUGAGACACGGUCCAGACUCCUACGGGAGGCAGCAGUAGGGAAUCUUCCGCAAUGGGCGAAAGCCUGACGGAGCAACGACGCGUGAGUGAUGAAGGUCUUCGGAUCGUAAAACUCUGUUAUUAGGGAAGAACAAACGUGUAAGUAACUGUGCACGUCUUGACGGUACCUAAUCAGAAAGCCACGGCUAACUACGUG
rnacentral:rRNA from 1 species